rnacentral:rRNA from 14 species
GGGUCAUACCGACUUACCAAACCGAUGCAAACUCCGAAUACCGAUGAGUGCUAUCCGGGAGACACACGGCGGGUGCUAACGUCCGUCGUGAAGAGGGAAACAACCCAGACCGCCAGCUAAGGUCCCUAAAAUUGGCUAAGUGGGAAACGAAGUGGGAAGGCUAAAACAGUCAGGAUGUUGGCUUAGAAGCAGCCAUCAUUUAAAGAAAGCGUAAUAGCUCACUGAUCGAGUCGUCCUGCGCGGAAGAUGUAACGGGGCUCAAACUGGUCACCGAAGCUGCGGCUGCAUACUUUGUAUGCGGGGUAGGGGAGCGUUCUGUAAGCCUGCGAAGGUGUGUUGAGAAGCAUGCUGGAGGUAUCAGAAGUGCGAAUGCUGACAUAAGUAACGACAAUGCGGGUGAAAAACCCGCACGCCGGAAGACCAAGGGUUCCUGCGCAACGCUAAUCGGCGCAGGGUGAGUCGGCCCCUAAGGCGAGACCGAAAGGUGUAGUCGAUGGGAAACGGGUUAAUAUUCCCGUACCUUGGAUAGCUGCGAUGGAGAGACGGAGAAGGCUAGGUGAGCCGGGCGACGGUUGUCCCGGUUUAAGCGAGUAGGGAGUGGACUUAGGCAAAUCCGGGUCCACAAUCUCGAGACGCGACGACGACUGCUCUUAGAGCGGGAAGUCAUUGAUGCCAUGCUUCCAGGAAAAUCUUCUAAGCUUCAGGCUAUUCGAGACCGUACCCCAAACCGACACAGGA